AUUGAACGCUGGCGGCAGGCCUAACACAUGCAAGUCGAACGAGUGGCGGACGGGUGAGUAAUGCUUGGGAAACUGCCUGAUGGAGGGGGAUAACUACUGGAAACGGUAGCUAAUACCGCAUACCAUCAGAUGUGCCCAGAUGGGAAUAGGUUGUUGGGGGGGUAAAGGCUCACCAAGGCGACGAUCCCUAGCUGGUCUGAGAGUAUGACCAGCCAACCUGGAACGGAGACACGGCCCAGACUCCUACGGGAGGCAGCAGUGGGGAAUAUUGCGCAAGUGGCGCAACCCUGAUGCAGCCAUGCCGCGUGUAUGAAGAAGGCCUUCGGGUUGUAAAGUACUUUCAGUGGUGAGUCGUUACCUGCAGAAGAAGCACCGGCUAACUCCGUGCCAGCAGCCGCGGUAAUUC
rnacentral:rRNA from 1 species